rnacentral:rRNA from 1 species
GACGAACGCUGGCGGCGUGCUUAACACAUGCAAGUCGUACGGAGUGGCGAACGGGUGAGUAACACGUGGGUGACCUGCCCCGCACUUCGGGAUAAGCCCGGGAAACUGGGUCCAAUACCGGAUAGUGUGGGAUAGGCCCGCGGCCUAUCAGCUGGUUGGUGGGGUAAUGGCCUACCAAGGCGGCGGUGGGUCGCCGGCCUGAGAGAGUGGACAGCCACAUGAGUACUGAGCUACGGGCCAGACACGUACGGGACGCAUCAGUGGGGACUAUUGGACAAUCCGCCGAAGCCUGAUGCAGCGACGCCGCGUGGGGGCAGACGGCCUUCGGGUUGUAAACACCUUUCGCCAGCGACGCGGAAGAUGGAGAAGAAGCACCGGCUAACUACGUGCCAGCAGCCGCGGUAAUAC